rnacentral:lncRNA from 10 species
ACUUGCAGCUAAGAGCAUUCUAACUCACAUAAUUUCUUCAGAGACACUUCUGUAAUAUGCCUACUUCUGAAUGAACUCAUGCUUCCCACACUACCCCUUGAAUACUUCUUUUACGGAGUUUACCAUUGCCUAUUUGUCUUACAUCUGUCAUACAUCUAUGAGCUCUUUGAAGACAGGGAUAGUGUCUUAUAUUCCAUCUAUUCAAAUCCCCAAUUAAGUAUAUAAAUGGAUAAAUACGUGUAGUCAAUUACUUUGGAAAUUAGAUAUUGUUGUGAGUAUAACAGGGUGUGUUUCUUGGGUGGCCCGUAAGGUCAACAGGGAGAUUUCCUUGUCCCAGAAUUAAAUGAGGAAGGUCGACUUCUGCUCCAGCCUUGAAAACUCUCGUGAGGAUGGAAGCAUGUUCAUUAUUUGUCAGUAUAAUUUAAACUCGAUUAAAGUUCCACCUCCCCAAAAAAAUGACACAAGGAAAACUUGAUAUCUAGUGCUGAUGAAUUAUGUGUUCCUGGGUCUUUUCUCCCCCCAUCUUCACUUCUUAUCUGCACAAAAGAAUGUUCUUUUUGUUUUUGACUGACUUUACCAGAAGUCACACUUGUAUGGGUAUAAAAAACUAAUAAAAGUGUCUAAGUCAAGGAAACACCAUGA